CAAAAAACACAUGCAUCACGUUUUUCAUGUUUUCCACGUGAUGGCUCAGUUCAAAUGGAUUUUAUCUCCCUCCUUCCCUCCACCGCGCCGGAGCUCACUGUCGGCGGUGGUUGAGCAACAACUCAUGAAAAAUAAACAGAAACAUUCCAAAUUUCAUGCCGAGUCCAAAUCCAUAAACGAAUUCAAAUAAUUACUCGUGACGAAUCUAGAUCGAAAAAAAGAUCCAAGAACCCUAGAACUAAGAACAUAAAUUAAAUGGUGGAUAUCAGGAAUCAAAGCCCUAGAGGUUAGGGCUUUGAUUCAGCUCAACAAGCUCUACAUGAUGGUAACUUAUUUGGGGCAAAAUGAUGAAUAAUGAAGGAUUCACUCACUAGAGCAGUCGCUGGGAAUUCAAUGAACUCUUCUUUACAACAUUCGAAGCUCUUGAUUCUUCGAUCUUAGGCUUUUCAAUCUUUUUCUUCUCUCUUCUUCUUUCUCUGUGUGUUGAUGUUUUCUAUUGUGCGUGAGAGUGGUUAGGUUCUAGCUCUUAUUGUUUCAGAACUUCAAGGUGAGGCUCUAAGCAACAAUGGAGGGAGAUAACUUUUCAGUGAGGGUGAGAGAGAGAAAUGAGAGUGAUUUUGUGCAUCAAAAAGAUUAGUUCCCCUGAAAAUGAUGAUGGAACCAAUAUAUAGAACUCAAUUUCAGUUAGAAACUCAAAUGAAAUUCAUGCUGAAAUUCAUUUGUUAGUUAGAAAUUAAUAAGUUUGUUAUAGUGAAAUGAGGUGGUUAGUGGUGAAAUACAAAUUGAAAUGAAAUGAAUGCUUAAGUGAAUUUUUUGUUGAAAUUACAUUGGAAUUCAAAUUAAAUUUAGAUGAUUUUUUAGAUAAUUCGCUGCAUUGCUUGGUAUGCUGUUAUUGUUGUAGGUCAGUUAUGUUAGCUUGGCCAAUUGAGUGUCAGUAGUAAUAUAGAAUUGUGACUUGAUAAGCUGGUGGUUUCGAGCUGCAAGUUUUAACCUAGGUUUAGUGUGACUCAGCUGCAAGAUGCUUUUGUCAUGGAUCAACCGACUGCAAUAGGUUUUGGUGUAAGGCUAUGCAAUCUUAAGAGCAAGACAAAGCUUAUUCAGGAACUUCAAACUGCAGUUGACCUGCUGGACUUGGUGAAAUCAAGAUCCUCCAUCCAUUUUCCUGCAUGAUCAUUGUUGUUAUAUGUUGGUACAAGUAUGUAUUAUGAUUCAUAUCUUUUUAAUCCCAUCCUCUUUCCUGUUGGGCUCAUGGCUGCUUAUUUGGAUGAAAUGUUAUCUGUUAGUGCAUGAUGUUGAACUUGUCUAAUAUUGCCAUAGCCAGGUGGUGCUGCUAGAUAUGAUGUUGCAUUGUAGUGGAUGCACCUGCUGCUUCUUGUUUAUUGUAUGUGCUUGGCAUGCUAGGUCUGGCAUAUGGUAUGUUGUGAUCUGACUAUGGUGAUAAUGCAAGGCAAGCUAGGCAGGUAUGCAUUGAUGUAGGCUGCAUGAUGCUGAUGUAAAACGACAUGGUUCAGGGCUUGUGAACAUGAUGACUUGAGGAUGAUGAUCUGAGGUAGAUCAAGUCAUGUUGCAUGGCCAAGGUUUUGAUGCAGGAUCAAUGGCUGGUGAAAUUAGGCAUGAUGGCAAGAUGAAACAAGGCAACAACCUAAGCAUGAUUAGGCCAACCAACCAAGUCCAAAACAUAUUGACUAUAACAUGAAAAACCAAGUUCAAAUAGCCAUCUCAAGGUAAAAAAUGGGAAUGGUGGAUGAAAAAUAGAGCUAGGACUAGUCAUUUAGUGAUAAGGGAUGAAAAAUGACCUAUGUUGACUUUGGUCAAAGUUGACCAAAAAGUCAAUUGUUGACCAAAGUCAACAAUUGGUCAACAUGUGUUUUUUUAACUUCUUGAUAUAUAAUGAACAUUUAUGUGUGAUAAUGAAUGAAAUUGACCAUUUGAAUGAAAAAUGGAUGAAUUAAAUGUA